GGAGGGAUGGCCGAGUGGCUUAAGGCAGCGGUUUGCUAAACCGCCGUACGGUUUACUCUGUACCGGAGGUUCGAAUCCUCUUCCCUCCG
rnacentral:tRNA from 1 species